rnacentral:SRP_RNA from 1 species
GGAUAUAGUAAUUAAUAUAAUAUACUAAAAAAAUUGAAAUAUGUCAGGAUUGUAAAAUAGCAGCAUGCGAUUUUAGAAAUAUAUGAGUAUUAAAACUAUAUCUAUUUUU